rnacentral:rRNA from 1 species
UCGUAGUGACUGCGGAGGAUCAUUACCGAGUGAGGGCCCUCUGGGUCCAACCUCCCACCCGUGUUUACUUUACCUUGUUGCUUCGGCGGGCCCGCCUUAACUGGCCGCCGGGGGGCUUACGCCCCCGGGCCCGCGCCCGCCGAAGACACCCUCGAACUCUGUCUGAAGAUUGAAGUCUGAGUGAAAAUAUAAAUUAUUUAAAACUUUCAACAACGGAUCUCUUGGUUCCGGCAUCGAUGAAGAACGCAGCGAAAUGCGAUACGUAAUGUGAAUUGCAAAUUCAGUGAAUCAUCGAGUCUUUGAACGCACAUUGCGCCCCCUGGUAUUCCGGGGGGCAUGCCUGUCCGAGCGUCAUUGCUGCCCUCAAGCCCGGCUUGUGUGUUGGGCCCCGUCCCCCGAUCUCCGGGGGACGGGCCCGAAAGGCAGCGGCGGCACCGCGUCCGGUCCUCGAGCGUAUGGGGCUUUGUCACCCGCUCUGUAGGCCCGGCCGGCGCUUGCCGAUCAACCCAAAUUUUUAUCCAGGUUGACCUCGGAUCAGGUAGGGAUACCCGCUGAACUUAAGCAUAUCAUAA